GACGAACGCUGGCGGCGUGCCUAAUACAUGCAAGUAGAACGCUGAAGCUUGGUGCUUGCACCGAGCGGAUGAGUUGCGAACGGGUGAGUAACGCGUAGGUAACCUGCCUGGUAGCGGGGGAUAACUAUUGGAAACGAUAGCUAAUACCGCAUAAUAGUAGAUGUUGCAUGACAUUUGCUUAAAAGGUGCAAUUGCAUCACUACCAGAUGGACCUGCGUUGUAUUAGCUAGUUGGUGAGGUAACGGCUCACCAAGGCAACGAUACAUAGCCGACCUGAGAGGGUGAUCGGCCACACUGGGACUGAGACACGGCCCAGACUCCUACGGGAGGCAGCAGUAGGGAAUCUUCGGCAAUAGACGGAAGUCUGACCGAGCAACGCCGCGUGAGUGAAGAAGGGUUUCGGAUCGUAAAGCUCUGUUGUAAGAGAAGAACGAGUGUGAGAGUGGAAAGUUCACACUGUGACGGUAUCUUACCAGAAAGGGACGGCUAACUACGUG
rnacentral:rRNA from 1 species